rnacentral:rRNA from 1 species
GACGAACGCUGGCGGCGUGCCUAACACAUGCAAGUCGAGCGAGUGAAUCUCCUUCGGGAGUGAAACUAGCGGCGGACGGGUGAGUAACACGUGGGCAACCUGCCUCAUAGAGGGGAAUAGCCUUUCGAAAGGAAGAUUAAUGCCGCAUAAGAUUGUAGCUUCGCAUGAAGUAGCAAUUAAAGGAGUAAUCCGCUAUGAGAUGGGCCCGCGGCGCAUUAGCUAGUUGGUGAGGUAACGGCUCACCAAGGCGACGAUGCGUAGCCGACCUGAGAGGGUGAUCGGCCACAUUGGGACUGAGACACGGCCCAGACUCCUACGGGAGGCAGCAGUGGGGAAUAUUGCACAAUGGGGGAAACCCUGAUGCAGCAACGCCGCGUGAGUGAUGACGGCCUUCGGGUUGUAAAACUCUGUCUUCAGGGACGAUAAUGACGGUACCUGAGGAGGAAGCCACGGCUAACUACGUGCCAGCCGCCGCCGUAAGAC